UACGAAGGGGGCUAGCGUUGCUCGGAAUGACUGGGCGUAAAGGGCGCGUAGGCGGUUUGCAUAGUCAGACGUGAAAUUCCUGGGCUUAACCUGGGGGCUGCGUUUGAUACGUGCGGACUUGAGUGGGGAAGAGGGUCGUGGAAUUCCCAGUGUAGAGGUGAAAUUCGUAGAUAUUGGGAAGAACACCGGUGGCGAAGGCGGCGACCUGGUCCUUGACUGACGCUGAGGCGCGAAAGCGUGGGGAGCAAACAGG
rnacentral:rRNA from 1 species